CCUACGGGUGGCAGCAGUGAGGAAUAUUGGUCAAUGGGCGCGAGCCUGAACCAGCCAAGUCGCGUGAGGGAGGACGGCCCUACGGGUUGUAAACCUCUUUUGCCGGGGAGCAACGGGCGUCACGUGUGGCGCCACUGAGAGUACCCGGAGAAAAAGCAUCGGCUAACUCCGUGCCAGCAGCCGCGGUAAUACGGGGGAUGCGGGGGUUAUCCGGAUUUUUUGGGUUUAAGGGGUGCGUAGGCGGAUCGUUAAGUCGGUGGUAAAAUUGGGGGGUGCAACCCCUUACCGCCAUUGAUACUGGCGCUCUUGAGUGGAAGAGAAGUAUGCGGAAUGCGUGGUGUAGCGGUGAAAUGCAUAGAUAUCACGCAGAACCCCGAUUGCGAAGGCAGCAUGCCGGCUUCCGACUGACGCUGAAGCACGAAAGCGUGGGGAUCGAACAGGAUUAGAUACCCGAGUAGUC
rnacentral:rRNA from 1 species